rnacentral:lncRNA from 1 species
GGCUUCUUGCUAUUACUUAUUGUUCAAUUAAAUCUCUAAAUAAAAAAAGAAUAUGAAGGCCAUAUAUAAAAUUGUUCCUAUAAGGGCAAUUACAUCAAUACAUAAGUCUUAAGUAUCAAAGAUCACCAAAAAUGUAAUAAAAAUAUUAUAAAACUUUGUAUAUUCUUAAGAUGAAUUUUUUCCAAACUUCAACAGCUCAUAUCUCACGAUCAAACUGUCUUAACAAACCAAAAUUUUACAUAAACUACUGAUGUACUUUUAACAACUAUCACAAUAAAUUUCAAGUAUAAGUUUAU